rnacentral:lncRNA from 1 species
AGACAGCCUCAGAGCUGGUGGGGAGACAGCAUGCCACUGGAAAAAUUCGUAGACAUGGAAUUCCUGGAUCAAAUGAUACUAAGGGAGACUUGCCUGGAAGCAGACUUGUGUCCGCAGUGUACAAACUCACCCUUUAAUGCACACACUGACCAGAUAACACAAACACACAUUUACCCCCACAGUACAUAGAUUCUUCUCACAGUACACACACUUGCCUUCCAGUACACAGACAUAUCCAAAGGCACACCGACAAGCACCACAGCAAAAAGAUGUUCCCCAGAACACAUGGAUACCCCACUCCCCGUAUCAUUAGACUCUCCCAGAGGCACAUAUGUACUGCUUAAUGCAGAGACUCACCUAAGGCACACUGAUGCACCCCGCAUGACACAGACUUGCCCCCCCAUAAGGACUCUACUAUGACACACAGACAAUCCCAACAUCACACACUGUUCCCACAUCACACAAACCCAUUUUUGGAAACACACAGCACACAGACUUAUCCCACAGAACACGGCUUCCCCGACAAGCACACAUACUCUCAAGGCCAGUAGACUUACCCCACAGCACACAGACUUUCUCCAGAGUGUACAGCUUCUUCCCACAGCAAACAGACUUUCUCCAGAGUGUACAGCUUCUUCCCACAGCAAACAGACUCUCCCCAGGGCACACAGACACCUCUGAUAUCACAUACUCUCACCACAGAUCAUAGACUCGUUGUAGAGCACAGGGACUCUUGCCAAUGAAACAGACUUUCCCGAGAAUAGACUCAUGAGACAGCUUGAAGACCCGCAUUAUGACACAAAGACUCUCCCACAACAGACUCACCCCAUUGUGUACAGACAAGCACCGCAGGCCACAGACCAUCACAUCAGGACACAGACUUGCCCAGCACUACACAGACACUCCGCAGAGCACAUAGACUCACCCCACAAAGCACAGACUAAACCCAUACUACAGAGACUCUCCCUAUAGCUUUCAGACAAGUGUACCCCACCACAGAGACAUGCAGCAGUACAUCUUACAACAUAUAUCACUCCUUGAUGCACAGGAUUGUGCCACAGCACACAAACUUAUCCUACAGUGCACAAAUUCAUGUCACAAAAGACACACUCACCACACAAUACAAAUACUUGAUCCAGCCGGGCGCGGUGGCUCACGCCUGUUAUCCCAGCACUUUGGGAGGCCUAGGCAGGCGGAUCACCUGACAUUGGGAGUUCGAGACCAGUGUCACCAACAUGGAGAAACCCCGUCUCCACUAAAAAUACAAAAUUAGCCGGGCAUGGUAGCGCAUGCCUGUAAUCUCAGCUACUCCAGAGGCUGAGGCAGGAGAAUCACUUGAACCCAAGAGGCGGAGGUUGCAGUGAGCCAAGAUUGUGCCACUGCACUCCAGCCUGGGCAACAAGAGUGAAACCUCGCCUC